AAGGUGAGGAACAGGGGACUUGGUGACAGUUUCUCACUCACUCACUCGGUCACUCCUAUUAAGUAUUUUUUGUUGUUGUUGUUUGUUAUUCUUUAUUAUUUAUUAAUUCCAAGGAAAAUUGGGUGGGAAGGGAAUGGCUGGACUGGACAGUUUCACUUUUCCCUGCCCUCUUUUGUAGCUGCUGCUGCUGUACUACUACUUCUGCCCUUUUUUGAGUUUACCACCACCCUUUUUUUCUUCCCAUGUUGUAGUACUAUUGUGCAUGCAAGCUAAUUAAGGAUAGUAGAUGAACUUGCCCAGAGAGAGAGAGAGAGAGAGAGACCAAAGUCCCAAGUCCCCAUGUGUCUUCUUCCCUUAGAAGUUAGAAGUCACUGUGAGGGAGAGAGACCAUAUUUUUACUUAUUUUUCUGUUGUUUCCUUUGGUUGUAAUUAAAUGGGAUGGAAAAUCAAACUCUUGUGUCAUUUGUUGGGGACCCUUUUUUAUUUUCUUUCUCAGGGCCCGAUCUUUUAGGUGUUCAAGUCUUAUUUUCUUACUUAAUUCUAGGAGAUAAUCUCCUGGUGAAUAAGAACAACUACUUUUUAACUUUUGAGAGAAAGAGAGAGAGUUGGGAAAAAAGUGAUGCAAGUGUAGUAAUGGUAUUUAUAAGAUAUGGUAGUAAUGGUAUUUAUAAGCGGACACCUUGACAACUAUGAUCCACUCCACUCUGAUAAAUUUACUAUGUCAAAUCUUGAGCAGCAGAAGAAUGAGGUUACCAAUUCUUUCCCUUUUGGUCUGUUUUGUUAGAUUGAAGUAAAUAAAAAUCAUCAAAUGUUUGUUUCCA